GAUGAACGCUAGCGGGAGGCCUAACACAUGCAAGCCGAGCGGUAGAGAUCUUUCGGGAUCUUGAGAGCGGCGUACGGGUGCGGAACACGUGUGCAACCUGCCUUUAUCUGGGGGAUAGCCUUUCGAAAGGAAGAUUAAUACCCCAUAAUAUGUUGGAUGGCAUCAUUCGACAUUGAAAACUCCGGUGGAUAGAGAUGGGCACGCGCAAGAUUAGAUAGUUGGUGAGGUAACGGCUCACCAAGUCUGCGAUCUUUAGGGGGCCUGAGAGGGUGAUCCCCCACACUGGUACUGAGACACGGACCAGACUCCUACGGGAGGCAGCAGUGAGGAAUAUUGGACAAUGGGUGAGAGCCUGAUCUAGCCAUCCCGCGUGAAGGACGACGGCCCUAUGGGUUGUAAACUUCUUUUGUAUAGGGAUAAACCUACUCUCGUGAGAGUAGCUGAAGGUACUAUACGAAUAAGCACCGGCUAACUCCGUGCCAGCAGCCGCGGUAAUACGGAGGGUGCAAGCGUUAUCCGGAUUUAUUGGGUUUAAAGGGUCCGUAGGCGGAUCUGUAAGUCAGUGGUGAAAUCUCACAGCUUAACUGUGAAACUGCCAUUGAUACUGCAGGUCUUGAGUGUUGUUGAAGUAGCUGGAAUAAGUAGUGUAGCGGUGAAAUGCAUAGAUAUUACUUAGAACACCAAUUGCGAAGGCAGGUUACUAAGCAACAACUGACGCUGAUGGACGAAAGCGUGGGGAGCGAACAGGAUUAGAUACCCUGGUAGUCCACGCCGUAAACGAUGCUAACUCGUUUUUGGGCUUUCGGGUUCAGAGACUAAGCGAAAGUGAUAAGUUAGCCACCUGGGGAGUACGAACGCAAGUUUGAAACUCAAAGGAAUUGACGGGGGCCCGCACAAGCGGUGGAUUAUGUGGUUUAAUUCGAUGAUACGCGAGGAACCUUACCAAGGCUUAAAUGGGAAAUGACAGGUUUAGAAAUAGACUUUUCUUCGGACAUUUUUCAAGGUGCUGCAUGGUUGUCGUCAGCUCGUGCCGUGAGGUGUUAGGUUAAGUCCUGCAACGAGCGCAACCCCUGUCACUAGUUGCCAUCAUUAAGUUGGGGACUCUAGUGAGACUGCCUACGCAAGUAGAGAGGAAGGUGGGGAUGACGUCAAAUCAUCACGGCCCUUACGCCUUGGGCCACACACGUAAUACAAUGGCCGGUACAGAGGGCAGCUACACAGCGAUGUGAUGCAAAUCUCGAAAGCCGGUCUCAGUUCGGAUUGGAGUCUGCAACUCGACUCUAUGAAGCUGGAAUCGCUAGUAAUCGCGCAUCAGCCAUGGCGCGGUGAAUACGUUCCCGGGCCU
rnacentral:rRNA from 1 species